rnacentral:lncRNA from 1 species
ACUAACGGUGCAUUCGUCAAGCUAAAUAGUAUCACCGCAACUCAUAAUAUCCAUAACAUAUACAAAAAUCCACAUCCAUAGCAACUCCUCAGGUAUAACAAUCUGAUGGUAUCCUGAUGCCAAGUCAAUCUUCAAGAACCAUGAACCUCUUGUAGGUAAUCCAACAACUCAUCAAAUACGUGGAAGCGAUACUUAUCCUUAAGGGUCCCUUUGUUCAGAUCUCUGUAGUCGAUACAAUUCUGAAACUCUCAUCUUUCUUCUUUACAAAAAUAAUGAUGCUCUCCAUGGUGAAGUAGUAAAACCCAUGUAUGGUGAAUCUUCCAUAUGCUCUUUCAGCUCGGUCAUCUCUGCUGCCGCUAAUCUGUAUAGAAAACGUGAAACCGGUUCUGUCCCUUACUCCAACCCGAUCGUAAGAAAACGGCUCCUCUUGCUGGUGACAGCCCUUCCAAAGGCCUCAACUACAUCCCGAUACUAUGCAAUAACCCCAAGAUCCUGCAACUCAUGUUGUCCAUCGUCCUUAACCAUCGAAAUGGUCACCAAACAUCUAUUUACUCAUAUAUCCAAUAACUCCUUAGCAUGUAGCAAGCAGAUAGUAAAAACUCUCAUCGUAUCCCAGAAUAAGAACUCUCGCCCUCAGGCAAAUCAACACUGACAUCCUUUAGCUCCAUCUCUGACGAAUCUCUGAAUAACUCGACUCCUCCAUACAUAAAUGGUACAACUCGUAUAUAAAUAGCUCUCAAUGUCCUAUGUCAGCUGUCCGAACUAACACACCUCUGAAACGAUCAACAAUACCAAAAACUGGCAAACAAAACCAAGCGUAACUCCAAUAUCAACAUAACGCAAGCUGCUGCACCCCAAUUCAAAAGCGAUCUCCACGAGUUCACAAACAAAAUAUACCUCCAAGGUAAAUUAAACCAUGAGCUACUAAACCAAAAUCAGGGUCGUUACAAUUCUCCCACACUUAUAAGGAAUUCGUCCUCGAAUUCAAAUCCUGACUAACAGUCCAAUACCAUCCAAAACAAAACUAUGAAUAAUUAAUCCUCAUCUGAGUCUUGGUCUCCGAGAUCUCUUCCUCGAUUCCAAGUUUAUCCCAACGAGCUUUGACCAACAUGGUCAUCAUCCCCUGAUCUGCUUUCACUUGUCGACCCAAAAUCUCAAUUGAAUGAAUAGGUGCAUACAAUUUAUUUUUUUUUUUAUUACCAAGAUCACGUCGUGGCUACUACAAAAUAAACUAUGGCUUUCUCACGACCUUCCUCAAUACCAACCCGUCAUGGAAUUCUGACAACUUUGCUGAUAACUGCAAUCUAUAAACCAUUGUUCCACAAAGGGGGUACGGUCACAUAUAUUUAGGUUUAAGCUUCCUUUAGCUCCCGAGUCUUAGAUCCUCUCUGAAAUGUCUUCAUUUUUAGGUACACUAAAUUAUCCAACUGAACUUCACAGUUUCUCUAGUAUUAAUUGCAUUUUUUUUUGUCAUCAACUUCUUUUAGGUGGUUAUUGAGCAUUUCUAUUUGCUUCAAUGUCCUUUAAACCAUUGGUUGCUAUAUGUCAUAGUGCUUCCCUACUUUGGUCUAUGAUGUGUGUGAAUGAUCUUCCAUAAAGAGCUUCGCAAGGUGAUAUCUGAAUGCUCGAAUAAUAAUUGUUACUGUACAUGAACUAUUUCGGCAGUACAUACUUUACUAAAUUAUUUUUUUUUUUUUCGUAGCUAAGCACUAAGUCAAGGGCACGUCCUCUAGAUUUUAACUUAGUGAUACGGUCCAUGAUCGCUCAUAUAUUAUUCUUCAUGAAACUUGACUCCGAUAGUCCAAUCAGUAAGCCCAUAAUCAACAUAUCUCAUUUCCAAUCUGGAAGAAGUAGAUUGUGUAAUAAUCCCAUAAAUAAUUUUGAUGUUCUGUUUUAACCAUCAGAUAAGUCUGACAUGGAGAUACAAUGUAGCUACAUCUUUUUCUCUUUUUUUUUUUCACUCUAGACCAAUGAUGGUAACAUUUCAGAUCUAUGCACCUCUUAGGUGUCGGCCAUUCUGAACUUGUAAUAAUUCUUUCUGAAUAAACAGCAACUCCUGCUUCUGAACACGUGAUCCAAAAAUUUAAUUUAAUUUUUUUUCCUUUUCCAGAAACUACACCUACUCCGUUAGCAACCAAUUUAUGCUCACGAUCCGUAACUGCUCAAGAUGCUCCUCUUUGCUCCAAGAAUAAAUCAGGAUGUCAUCGAUGAAUAUAAUUGCGCACUUAUCCAAGUGUUCAUGAAAACAUCAUUCAUAAGCUUCACGAAUACUAACGGUGCAUUCGUCAAGCUAAAUAGUAUCACCGCAACUCAUAAUAUCCAUAACAUAUACAAAAAUCCACAUCCAUAGCAACUCCUCAGGUAUAACAAUCUGAUGGUAUCCUGAUGCCAAGUCAAUCUUCAAGAACCAUGAACCUCUUGUAGGUAAUCCAACAACUCAUCAAAUACGUGGAAGCGAUACUUAUCCUUAAGGGUCCCUUUGUUCAGAUCUCUGUAGUCGAUACAAUUCUGAAACUCUCAUCUUUCUUCUUUACAAAAAUAAUGAUGCUCUCCAUGGUGAAGUAGUAAAACCCAUGUAUGGUGAAUCUUCCAUAUGCUCUUUCAGCUCGGUCAUCUCUGCUGCCGCUAAUCUGUAUAGAAAACGUGAAACCGGUUCUGUCCCUUACUCCAACCCGAUCGUAAGAAAACGGCUCCUCUUGCUGGUGACAGCCCUUCCAAAGGCCUCAACUACAUCCCGAUACUAUGCAAUAACCCCAAGAUCCUGCAACUCAUGUUGUCCAUCGUCCUUAACCAUCGAAAUGGUCACCAAACAUCUAUUUACUCAUAUAUCCAAUAACUCCUUAGCAUGUAGCAAGCAGAUAGUAAAAACUCUCAUCGUAUCCCAGAAUAAGAACUCUCGCCCUCAGGCAAAUCAACACUGACAUCCUUUAGCUCCAUCUCUGACGAAUCUCUGAAUAACUCGACUCCUCCAUACAUAAAUGGUACAACUCGUAUAUAAAUAGC